AUGUUUCCAGUGUUGUUGAGUGGUAUGUUCCCUGCUCCUUCUCUAUCUUUCUGUUUCAGUUCAGUUCUGAUCAUUUUGUUGGCGAUUAUUAUCUUGGACCUUCUUAAUUGUUUUGUUGAUUAUGAUGUUGGUUAAAAUUGAGGUAGCAUAAUACCGACUAAAUCCUAGUCUAAAGGAAAAAGAAUAAUUGAGUUUAGCUUAGCUAGCUAGUUCUUUUCUGUUAAUUUCCGUUUGGUUAAUGAGAAAAUAAUGAUCAAGUUUGACACUUGUGUCAAUAGCCCUGCUCAAAGCUUUACCUUUCUCCCUAUGCUUUCUCAACAACAGAAUGGGGAUGCUUCAUCAUGUACGCUUCGGUUAAUCUUUAAUUAAAUGUUAAAACCGAAUUCUUUGCUAAACAGGAUUACAGCAAUGGUUUUAGCGUGGCAAUAUGGAUUGAUAUCUGGAUUUGAGGGUAAAUUGCACCAACCACCUUAAACUUUAGGAAUUUUUCAUUUUUGUUAUUCAACUUUAAUUUGUUGAACUAAAAUCAUUGAACUUCACACGAGUUCCAUCUAAAACCCAGCUAUGUCCCUAAGGUUAAAAUAGCUUUCUCUUCAUGUAACCCAGUCCUCACCCCAUAGCUAGCCUCCCCUUCCUCCAUUUUUGAUCACUGCCUCCCCUUUUAAUUCUCCCCUUAAACCAUUCCAAGAAAGCUUCCACUUAAACCAUUCCUUCUUCCUGCACUUCUUUUUUGUUCUUUGUUAUUUAGUGCCUCAAUAUCACAUGCGUAACCCUCCUCUGUCCUCACGGUGUUUCUACUCGGCACCAUGAUUUGUGAAAAUGAAGACCCAGGUUGUGAUGCAGAGAUCCAAUUACUCAUGACAUAGAUCCACCCACAAAUGUUUUAACAAAACCAUCAAAUGAGUAAAUUACUCUCCAUCUAAUGCAACGUAUUGUUUAAUAGCUCAUUGUCAAUGCCACUUCUACAAUGACACACUUACUGCCAGUGGAUCCUAUUCCUACUUGCCUGUACCAGCUAAUUGUCAAUUUUGUUUAUUUGUUUGUUAUUUACUUGGUAGAUUGGGACUUGGUUUUGUUGAAAUUUUUUUGGUUGAUCUGUUAUCUCAAUGUAAUUUAUAUUUUGUUCAGAUUUGUUAUUCAGAAUUGUGUUUUGAUUUUGUUGGGUAUUGAUCUGUUAUGUUAAUUCUUUAGAUGGUAUGUCUUCCUUGUUUAUGAUGUUCUUAUAGCAUGUUUAGGGAUCAAAUAAUUUUUUUCGCAUUCCUUCGUUUUAUGGGAACCCAAAUCUCUGCAGUUAAGGUGGUUGGUUAAUGCUCUAUCCCAUGGGCUAUAUAUUGGAAGACUGCACUAUAUAAUUUGUUAAUAAGCUAUUUGGAGGAGUUAUUCUCACUGUGGUGUGAAUUUUUCCAUUUUACCACCUGCGUGAAGUGUAAUUGUGUGCUUCAUAUUGUAUUCUUCAACUUUGAUGCAUAUCGAUGUUACUAGUAUACAUAGCUAGAUUAGUUUUUUCAUUCAUAGCAAAAAAUUAUCAUUUUAAAGGGAGAUGAAGAUGGAGAAAGAUAAGGGA
rnacentral:misc_RNA from 1 species